rnacentral:rRNA from 1 species
UACAGAGGUCUCAAGCGUUGUUCGGAUUCAUUGGGCGUAAAGAGCUCGUAGGCGGUCUGUUGCGUCGGCUGUGAAAACCCGAGGCUCAACCUCGGGCCUGCAGCCGAUACGGGCAGACUAGAGUUCGGCAGGGGAGACUGGAAUUCCUGGUGUAGCGGUGAAAUGCGCAGAUAUCGUAAGGAAGACCAGUGGCGAAGGCGAGUCUCUGGACAGCAACUGACGCUGAGGCACGAAGGCCAGGGGAGCAAACGGG